GAUUCAGUCAGUUUUGAAGCUCUGAGCAAGUGAUCAAACUAUUUGUCUGUAUUGGUGGAGGCUGAAGACAUGAGUCCAUGGACAGGGACUACUGAGGAACCUUCAUCAAGAACAAGGUAAUGUACUUAUUCGUAAAUAAUUACAAAACGAGAGGUCAUUUCUUUUGGAGGUUGAGAAAAAUUCCUGGUGUUGCAUAUUUAUAGGGUCGCAUCUAAUUGGAGGUUACUCUACUAUCCUCGAUUACAGGCUGCUUAAAAUUACUUCUAGCGGCCUGGAAUCGAGGUCAGAAAAUUGCCUAAGAUCGAGGGUGUCGCAUAUUUGGAGGGUCACCUUAAAUUGAACAAUCUCGUGCAUGGACAAAGAUGAUGUGUACAGUUUUGGAGUGCUUGCUUGUGAAGUGGUGAAUGCCAGAUUUCCUGAAGCUGCUGUAUUUCUUGGUCUGCUAUCGAGUAUGGAAGGUGUAUGGCGGGAGCUCCACCCACUCAUCACCUCAGGACAGACCCUCCAUGGACACUGUGUUACACCACAUCAAACAAUUGGACUCUGAGUCUUAGUAUUGGUGCAUGAGUGUGUUAUUAAAGAAUAUGAAGAUUUAAUAAUUAUUCUUGCAAACAAAGUGGGGGAGGGGCUGCUCAAGAUGAGGGGGUGUUGCAUAUGGGGUCAGAGAUCAGAAAGCCAUGUGGACUCACUGAAAACUGUACUAGAUAUCAUGCAAGAUGAAGGCAGCCUUGAUAGCAGCCACGAUCCUCACACUCUUCUGCUCCCUUCAUAAAGCCAGCUCUCUGGGGAAGCUGAAGGUACCGGUGGUUUUACUUCCCUAUGUCCCCUCCAGCACUGGAGUCAAGAUCAACUUCACUCUGAGCUCCCCUCAAGGUUGCUUCUUUUGGUGUUGGCAAGUCCACCCUCCUCCGCUCUAUGGCGUGUCAUGAGCUGCGUCUACCAGCUGGUGUGAAUGUACUACACGUGGAGCAAGAGGUCACCGGGGACAACACAUUAGCACUGGAUAGUGUACUCGAGUGUGACACUGAGAGAGUGCAGCUGCUCGCUAGAGAGGGGGAGCUACUUCAUGGCCUCAGGGGACAAGAACACAGCAGCAGGCAGCGCUUCUGAUGAGCUGGCUGAGGUAUACCUUCCACUACAGGAGAUAGACGCUGACAAAGCACCAGCAAGAGCUGGCUGUAUUCUGGCUGGUCUGGGGUUCACUCCACAGAAGAAUGAGAUUUUAUCUGGCUAAGACACUAUUUGCAAGGGGAAGGCGUGGGUGUUUUUUCAGAAUCAGGCUCGUUUUCAGAGCUAUCUUUUAGCUGCCAUAACUUGAAUUCCGUGGAUACAAUUUCAAUGAUUUUCUGAUUUUCUGAAAGCUUAGAAAGAGACCUUUCAAAUGGUGUCAUCAAAGUUUAUAUUUGAGAGAUAAAAGUAUUUGCCAAUUUGGCCAUACCAUGGUCCAAGGCGGAAAAAUUACAAAUUAGGGCACCAACAAAAUUUUGGAUCGAAACUCAUCAUUUGAAAGGUCUCUUUCUAAGCUUUCAGAAAGUCAUAACAUGUUUGACAUUGGAUCAACGGUAUUAAAGUUAAUGGCUGUUGAAAAAUCAGGUUUGUUUUUAGAGCUAUCUUUUAGAGGCCAUAACUUGUGUUAGGAACGUCCUAUCAAAGACGCAUUCUGUAGCUCUGAGAAAGCACUAUUGUAUACAAUUAAAGUGUCUUAAAACCGCUAAUUGCUCGCAGUGCCAAAGCUCACUAAUUUGUGUGUCCUAUGCUGUAGAUGUGGGAACACGAAACCAUCGUCGGUUGUGUGCAGUGUAUUGUAGUCGUACCCCCGGGUUUGAAGUGAUCCAUGGACUACUGGACCGUGUCAUGCAGCUGCUGGAGGUGUCCUUCACCAAAGAUGGCAGUAGAUACUUUCUCAAGGCAGCUAAAGACUCUACCUAGUUCCCGGGCCGUUGUGCGGAGGUGUGUGUACGUGGGAAGGUGAUUGGGAAACUGGGCGUGCUCCAUCCUGGUGUGUCUGUUGUGCAGCUCUAGUGUGUGUGAGACUGGGAGGUGUGUCUGGUGCAGCUGUUCUCACGGCCUCCUCCAACCAGUACCUGCCCUCCGUACUCUCCAGGGAGAACCUAUCUCCUCAGGUUAGUGUGUGUUCAUCAUGACCUCCUUGACAGUAUGUACCCAGGUGUGUGUUUAGGGUCAAUACUGCAAGGUCAUGUACUGUACAUAAUUAUGUCAUGUACAUAUAAUUAUAGCCUGGAUCCCAGGGUAGGCCGGUGAACGAGGCUAGUACAUAUAAUCCUUUUGUUUGUAGUUAGGGUGCUUUAGUAACCAUUAAAGAUCUAACAUACUCUUCUUGAGGGGAGGGGUAGUUAAACACAUUAUUUUAAACAGCCAUAACUUUAAUACCGUUGAUCCAAUGUCAAAAUUUAUAUUAUUUGCUUAAAGCUUAGAAACAGACUUUCAAAUAAUGUGCUUCAAUCCAAAAUUUCUUUGGUGUAAUUUUUCGGCCUUGGACCAUCAGCUAUUAUCCUUGGUUGUGUCCAAAUUAGUUUUGUAGCUCAAAAUAAUAUGAACUUUGAUGGCGACGUUUGAAAGGUAUAUCUUAUAUACCAUUCGAUUCCUUGUUAAAAAACGCUUCUAUCUAUAUAUGCUGUAGAGCUGGUAAGCUCCACAUUUUGUGAUCUUGUGUGUGUGCAUUGGGUGCAUGAUGUGAGAUCAAUUUCAACAUGGUAUGGAGUGUUGUUAACAUGGAGGGUGACAUUGUAUGAGUGUAAUAACGUAAAUUAGUGUUCAUGCAAUCAAAGGCUAAUACAUACUAACACUGUGUAU